rnacentral:rRNA from 1 species
GCACCCCUUGGUAUUCCGGGGGGUACGCCUGUUCGAGCGCCAUCACACACCCCAAGCUCUGCUUGAUGUUGGACGAUGCCUUGGCCCUUCUGGGCUGGGGCACGUCUGGAACCCGUGGGCGCCCCCGCCGAACCACGAGCGUAGCAAGACGCAAGUCACUCGCUUCUGUCGGUCUCGGUGGAGGGUCUGCCUUAAUCCAUUUCUGAAGAUUGGCCUCGGAUCAGGUGGGGAUACCCGCUGAACUUAAGCAUAUCAAUAAGCGGAGGAAAAGAAACCAACAGGGAUUGCCUCAGUAACGGCGAGUGAAGCGGCAACAGCUCAAAUUUGAAAUCUGGGGCCUUCGGCUCCCGAGUUGUAAUUUGUAGAGGAUGCCUCGGGGGGUGCUUCGGCCCAAGUUCCUUGGAACAGGAUACCACAGAGGGUGAGAGUCCCGUAUCCGGCCGGCAGUACCCUCCGCGCGAGGCUCCUUCGACGAGUCGAGUUGUUUGGGAAUGCAGCUCUAAGCGGGUGGUAAAUUCCAUCUAAAGCUAAAUACUGGCCAGAGACCGAUAGCGAACAAGUAGAGUGAUCGAAAGAUGAAAAGCACUUUGAAAAGAGAGUCAAACAGUACGUGAAAUUGUUGAAAGGGAAGCGUAUGGGGGCAGACUUGGCCGCGGGGUUCAGGGUGUCUUUUGGCGCCUGUACUUCCCCGUGGGCAGGCCAGCAUCGGUUUUGGGGGUUGGAUAAAGGCGUCGGGAAUGUGGCUCCCCUCGGGGAGUGUUAUAGCCCGUCGCGCAAUGCAGCCACCCGGGAUCGAGGACCGCGCUUCGGCAAGGAUGCUGGCGUAAUGGCCUCAUACGGCCCGUCUUGAAACACGGACCAAGGAGUCUAACAUCUAUGCGAGUGUUUGGGUGUCAAGCCCGAGCGCGCAAUGAAAGUGAACGGAGGUGGGAGCCCGUAAAAAGGCGCACCAUCGACCGAUCCUGACGUCUUCUGAGGGAUUUGAGUAAGAGCAUAGCUGUUGGGACCCGAAAGAUGGUGAACUAUGCGUGAAUAGGGUGAAGCCAGAGGAAACUCUGGUGGAGGCUCGCAGCGGUUCUGACGUGCAAAUCGAUCGUCAAAUUUGCGUAUAGGGGCGAAAGACUAAUCGAACCAUCUAGUAGCUGGUUCCUGCCGAAGUUUCCCUCAGGAUAGCAGUAACGUUUUCAGUUUUAUGAGGUAAAGCGAACGAUUAGGGAGCUAGGGGCUGAAACAGCCUUUAUCCAUUCUCGAACUUUAAAUAUGUAAGAAGUCCUUGUUACUUUGUUGAACGUGGACAAUCGAAUGCAGCGUUACUAGUGGGCCAUUUUUGGUAAGCAGAACUGGCGAUGCGGGAUGAACCGAACGCGGGGUUAAGGUGCCGGAAUGCACGCUCAUCAGACACCACAAAAGGUGUUGGUUCAUCCAGACAGCAGGACGGUGGCCAUGGAAGUCGGAAUCCGCUAAGGAGUGUGUAACAACUCACCUGCCGAAUGAACCAGCCCUGAAAAUGGAUGGCGCUCAAGCGUGCUACCCAUACCCCGCCGUCUGUGUUCGAUUUAGACGCAGACGAGUAGGCAGGCGUGGAGGUUCCGUGACGAAGCCCAG